rnacentral:rRNA from 1 species
AAUGAACGUUGGCGGCGUGGAUUAGGCAUGCAAGUCGCGCGAGAAGUCAUUUAGCUUGCUAAAAGACGGACAGCGGCGGAAGGGAGAGUAACGCGUGGUUAUGUACCCUCGAGACCGGGAUAGUGUCGGGAAACUGGCAGUAAUACCGGAUAACAUCUUCGGAUCAAAUGGUGUGAUUCCGCCAGAGGAUCGGACCGCGUACUAUUAGCUAGUUGGAGGGGUAAUGGCCCACCAAGGCUUAGAUGGUUACCGGGUGUGAGAGCAUGGCCCGGCUCACGGGGACUGAGACACUGCCCAGACAUCUACGGUUGGCUGCAGUCGAGAAUCUUGGGCAAUGGACGAAAGUCUGACCGAGCGACGCCGCGUGCGGGAUGACGGCCUUCGGGUUGUAAACCGCUGUCAGUUAGGAGGAAAUCCAUGAGGGUUCUCUCUCAUGGUUGACCGAUUUUCAGAGGAAGGACGGGCUAAGUUCGUGCCAGCCGCCGCCUAAGAC